rnacentral:rRNA from 1 species
CCUACGGGCGGCAGCAGUAGGGAAUAUUGCUCAAUGGGGGAAACCCUGAAGCAGCAACGCCGCGUGGAGGAUGAAGGUUUUCGGAUUGUAAACUCCUUUUGUUAGAGAAGAUAAUGACGGUAUCUAACGAAUAAGCACCGGCUAACUCCGUGACAGCAGCCGCGGUAAUACGGCGGGUGCAAGUGUUACUCGGAAUCACUGGGCGUAAAGGGCGCGUAGGCGGGAUAGCAAGUCAGAUGUGAAAUCAUAUGGCUUAACCAUAGAACUGCAUUUGAAACUGUUAUUCUAGAGAAUGGGAGAGGUAGGUGGAAUGCGUGGUGUAGGGGUAAAAUCCGUAGAGAUCGAGAGGAAUACUCAUUGCGAAGGCGACCUGCUAGAACAUAACUGACGCUGAGGCGCGAAAGCGUGGGUAGCAAACAGGAUUAGAUACCCUGGUAGUC